rnacentral:pre_miRNA from 1 species
CCUUCGUCCCAUUUUAAAUGUAAUUGUAGAUUUUUUUUAUUCGUCUUAUUUGAUUUUUUUUAUUAUUAAUAUUUUUGUUGCUAUUAGAUAAUAAAAUAUGAAUAAUACUUUAUACGUGACUUAUUUUUUAAAAAUAUUUUUAUAAAUUUUUUAAAUAAGACGGACAGUCAAACGUUGGACACGAAAACUCACAACU